ensembl:lncRNA
GCAGUUCUCUUCCAAGAAUUCACCCCAAGACUAGAAGCACCAGUAUCAUGAGUCCUGUAAGAAUUUCUUUCUAAUGAGAUUUUCAAUUGUGAUGGCAGACUAACAGCAUACAAAUAGGACUACAGACAGCUGUUGCCAAGGUACUGAAGUAUAUCAGAGUAAAAACGUUUUGCAGAAAUGGUCUGAGGUAUAUUUGAAGUUUUCUUCUGAGGCAGGAAGACUCUUGUUACUUUAUUACCCUUGGUUUUGAAGUACCACCACCUAGUGAUACUGAACAUCCAUCCCUAGGUCUGUACAUUACCUAGACGAUACACAUAGCUGAUUUGAGAAGAGACUGAGCUGAAUGGAAGUUGAUUGCUGCCUCCACUUACACUCUCCAUCAUUCCUUUUCUAAAAGUGUUCUAGAAGUUCUGACUUCAUUUUAACAUGGGAUGAACCACUUGGUGAAAUAUGUUAGAAAAAGAAAUUCUCAACUUCAGGCAACUUUUUUUGAGGAAUUCCUUCACUAAUACUUGAAGAACAUGAGUCCUGGUUUGUCUGCAUGCAGCUCUCCUGAAUUCAAUCAAAUUCAUCUGAACUUUUUCAAAUUCCACUGGAGGAGGAGACAGGAGAUAACUCAGGGAAAGCCUAAAAGAGUAGGACCUGUCAUGCAGCCUCCUUAACUAUGUCGUUCCUAACUGCAUUUGUUACAGUCUUAGCCAUGAUCUUGCCCAAUCCCAGCUGCGUACACCUGUGUGCUCACUUAGAGCCCGUUUUUUGCACCUAUGUGAAGCCUACUCAGAUUUUGAAUACGUAUGAGUUUUGCAACAAUUUACAUUUUCUGUAUUGGUGUAACUUUAGAUAUUUAGUUUCAGCUCUGGCUCAACAUAGUACAUCAGACGUUUUAAAGAUAUAUUUUUUUUUUCCAUAAGAGGAAAAGUAAUUUUAAAGUUGGGUAAAGACAAGGGGAGGUAAGGUGAUAUGGGCCGGUUUGUUUAGCAAUAGGGAUCUGUUUAUUAGUUUAAGGACCAACAUAUUAGUUUAGCAAAAGGAAUCAAUGAAUGCUAAUUCUAAAACUUUCCUUUUCGCUUUUCUUGGUGUGUGAGCAGCCCUGUUUUCUCUUAAUUCUGCUUCACAAGAAGCACCAGAGACAUAAUAGACUGCUUAUCUUUGCAUUUCAUGAGGUGCUAGGAUGUUUUCCUCAUAUUUUCACAUAUAUGGUUUUGGAAAUUGCUGAUUAUGGGUUAACAACCAAUAGAAAUGUGCCAAACAGGGGAAAAACGGCUGAAGGUCAGCUAAAAGUCUCAAUGAUGAAGCUGAUGGUGGAAAAGUGGGGAUAAAGUAAGUGGGCAUAUGACCACCCUAAAUGCAACCAUGCAUGCCCAGAGGGAUAUUAGCAUAUGUUAAUGUGUUCUUGGAAAAGAAUGAAUACGUAUGUCAGUGUACUGCAUAUGCAUGUCUUAACUAUUUAACUGUAGAACCUGAACUCUGAGAGAGUGCGCUUGUUCGUCAAGUUGUCCAAUUCAUAUCAUGAGGAAUAAAGGAAAGGCACUUUCUAACACUACAUUGGAGUUAGAGGGUUUUCUUCCCAGAUAUUGGAUGACAAGGUAUCUACCUUGAGGAAAGAUAUUAUGAAGACCUACUUACAGAUGCUCUAGUUUUUUGGCCAUAUUUUGAUAAUUAGCAUGGAAACCAUGGACCUGAUUUGAGCUAAGCUGUUUGAUCACGUUUUGGAUGACAAGCUGCCCUUUAGCUUGUGUAAAUACGUGAUAUAACUCAUCACCAUUUUCAGUAUAAACCAGCAAGUUCAUCUAAACAUAUCAGUUUUGGUGAAGCCAAAUGUCUUUAUUGCCUAGGGUGAUUUUUUUUAAACUUAUUUCUAAAACUGUGGGAUUUCCAAUUAAAAAAAAAAAUCCCAAAUGUAUUUAUGAAUAAAAAAGGAUAAACACAGUGAUUGCGGAUGCACAUUUUAAUUAACUGGAAAAUCUCUUCUUCUUUUUGUUGAUCCCCUAUUUCCUUCUUUUCCAAGGCUCAUGUGUGAUGAUUGUAGAAAGAUGAAUAAUGUUUUAGUCAUACAACCUUCAUUAAAGCUAUUGAAAAUGUGCUGUUAAUUCCCUGAGUUCAACUUUGAAAACACGAAAGUUACUGUUUAUCCCUGUAUCUAAG